GCCCCCUGGAAAUGGGCAAAGAGACACCGUAUUGGUGGUGGUGUUCUCAUGUGAGUCAGGGGCAGAGCAGGGGCACUCCUUUGUUCAGCCUAGCUUGAUGCCUGGCUUGGUGGCCAAAGCUGUCUUAUGCUUAGGACACAUAA